GGCGGGGGCUCCCAAAUACUCUUUGCCAAAAAAAGAAAAAAACAAGUCUCCAAAAUGCCGAGUCUCAGAAGACUUAUCUAGACGUCUUGUUCUUUCUUCUCUCUCUCUCUCUCUCUCUCUCUCUCUCUCUCUCUCUCUCUCAGUCUCAGUCUCACACUCUGCAAUUUUCGGUCUUCAGAUCAUCUCUUCGAUGGCCACUCCGACCACACCCACCUCUUUUAAUCACUCUCUAAUCAUUUCAUCUUUUGCCUGUCACCCAAAAUUAAAAAGCUUUGUCUCACUCUCUCUUGAAGCUUCUCAAUCUGGAUCUGGCAAUCGCUGCCGUAUCCGACCAUCAACAGUCGUCUCCUCUUUUUCCCUUACGCUUUCAGCUUCUCAAAUUUAGUUGCAGGUUGCAAUAUUUUUAAACUUACUUAGGGGCUUGUGCAACAACCUAUCAAAUAUGUUACAAAAUUGGAGUUUAUCUCAACAUGCAGAUUUUUACGGGUUUUUGGUGGUUUAGGGCUCACGGGUUGUUCUACUAUUUGAAAGGUGGGCAGGUUGAUUAUGGUGAAGAACGCAGCAUAGCCUAUAGGCAUUCCCAAGUUUGGUUCUCUUUUUCCUCAUGUUUUAAUGUUCUCUUGUUUGAUAAAAGAGCAAGAAAUGAGAUUGCUUUCAUAAUAGACCUCAUAUCAUAGCAAGUCUCAAGUUUUGGUUGUGGUUGAAUUGCAAGGCCGGCACUACCCUGAAUGGGAUGAGGAUCAUCCUAUUCACUUUGUGGGCCAUUCUGCCGGAGCUCAGGUCGUCUGUGUUCUGCAGCAAAUGCCCGGUGAUAAGAACAUUGAUAAAUCCCUCUGGUGAAAUGUCCUGUGCUGGGUUAAGUGAACACAAUUGAGUUUGAUGCAGGGGGGAAGUUACAGCAAUACAUAAGAUUACAAUGUGAAUUUUACAAGUUUUCAAUCAAAUUCAAUCAGUGGCCAAGUCUUCGAUGAAUUUUACAAGUCUUCAUGGCUUUAUGGCUCUGCCUGGUCAUAUGGGAUCUGAUAUGAUCACUUCUGGUUAGGUAUUAUUUGUUUCUUUUUAUUCUUAAAAGAAUUGUGCAUCUUUAAUGCAUUUUUAGUCGUGUAUAUGAAGUCCAUUAUACUUGCAAGGAGAGGAGCUUCUAUUGUGUGUAUUGAUUGAAAGCUCUGAGGAACCACAGACAAUGAAAGGAAGACAUUGAAGAUCACCAGAUCUAAUCGCGUGUUAAUAGUUUCCUAAGUUAGUGAAUAGUGAUAGUUGAACAAUUUUACUAGUUGUUGUCCAAGUAUUUAACUUUCAUCUAUGCGUGGUUUUAUAAUAAUAUAAUAUACUUGUUCUUUUUGUAUGUUUCUCUAAUUGCUGGGCACGUGAGAUUU